GCUCCACUGAUGACCUGCCCCUGCGUGGGGCAGAUGGCUGCCCUGGGGCGCCGCCUCGUUCUGCCCGGGGCAGCUGAGGUCUUUCAGGGCCGAGUUCACCUGCCUGAGCUGAGUGUUUCUACACUUUAACACCUGAGCACCUCCAGGCCCUGAUGGAGGAUGAACAGCCUGCUGAUGCCAGGAUGAGUUUCUUCAGUUCACAGUUAAAGGAGUCUGACUGACUGACCURGUAAAAAGGUGCUGGGCUGAAUCACUGAGCUGUAAGGAAACAUGCUGCCUUUCUCCAAAAGGCCUGCAGGCAGGAAAGCUGCAGAGUUUCUGCAGGCGCAGUGACAUGGAGACGUUCGGCGUUACAUGCAGCCAUGACGAGUCUGGAGACGUUGGUGUGUGGGACUGCUUCUCCUGCAACAGGGAGGGAGGAUUUCUGAUUACUGUCAGGAAUAACAGAGUUAUAAUGGCUGCUUGGAGGAACCUGGCUGCAGGAGGAGGCGACUUAUCAUGUGAUACUUUCUGGAACUUUCUCAGAAAUCACCGGCUGCAUGUUUUGUUCGAUAAAUUUGAGUAAAAACGUGUUUUAUUUGUCCGCAUGCUCAGAUGAGUUUUUCCUGCUGCUAACAGACGUUUCUGCACCA